UAGGGAAUCUUCCACAAUGGACGCAAGUCUGAUGGAGCAACGCCGCGUGAGUGAAGAAGGUCUUCGGAUCGUAAAACUCUGUUGUUAGAGAAGAACACGAGUGAGAGUAACUGUUCAUUCGAUGACGGUAUCUAACCAGCAAGUCACGGCUAAAUACGUGCCAC
rnacentral:rRNA from 1 species